rnacentral:rRNA from 1 species
GACGAACGCUGGCGGCGUGCUUAACACAUGCAAGUCGAACGGAAAGGCCCUGCUUUUGUGGGGUGCUCGAGUGGCGAACGGGUGAGUAACACGUGAGUAACCUGCCCUUGACUUUGGGAUAACUUCAGGAAACUGGGGCUAAUACCGGAUAGGAGCUCCUGCUGCAUGGUGGGGGUUGGAAAGUUUCGGCGGUUGGGGAUGGACUCGCGGCUUAUCAGCUUGUUGGUGGGGUAGUGGCUGACCAAGGCUUUGACGGGUAGCCGGCCUGAGAGGGUGACAGGCCACAUUGGGACUGGGAUGCGGCCCAGACGCAUACGGGAGGCAGGGGUGGAGAAUAUAGCACAAUGGGCCGAAGCCGGAUGCAGGAACGCCGCGUGCGGGAUGACGGCCUUCGGGUUGUAAACCGCUUUCGCGUGUGACGAAGCGUGAGUGACGGAAAUGGGUAAAGAAGCACCGGCUAACUACGG